rnacentral:lncRNA from 1 species
UAGAUUGCUCGCCUCUUUUUCUUGUUCGUUCUUCGAUUGCGGACAGGAAUUGAUCUUCGUGAUCAGGCUGAUCUCGCACCGGCGAGGUUGGUAACCAUCGGGAGUUGGUUCAGCGAUUGCAUUGGCGCUUCGGGUUCGCUCGUCGUAGUCGGAUCGUGAGGUCUACUUCCACCAAGUCGAAUUUAUGUCCACUCACCGAAAGAUCGGGCACUCCGACUCUAUCAAGUGGUAUCAGCUUUCCAGGUUGAUCGGUGAGUUUUACCGAGUGUUUUUCCCUUCCUACAGUCCACAAAAACCAAAAGAAAUUUUUUUCAGGUUAGAUCCUUGUCCCAGCAACCGUUUAGCCUCGCACAUUCUUUCAAUAAGUGUCUUUGUUGAAUUUGUGUCCCUACUCGUUCAAUUGUUGCUGGUUACUUGUGUUUAAUCUCUUGUUUCUCAUUUUUCCUCUAAACCCUAGUUUUCGCCGCCGCCGCCGUUCUGCUGCUCGCCAACCCUACCACGCCACGCCCACCGCCCCCCUUCGCGACAACUGCGCCGCGCCAUCCCACCCCUCCGAUCGCC